UGGAUAACCUGCCCUCGGCACCGGGAUAGCCCGAGGAAACUCGGAUUAAUACCGGAUAGCCCUUCCGACUCUCGAGUCGGUCCGAAAAGGUAGCUUCGGCCUCUGGCCGAGGAUGGGUCCGCGGCGGAUUAGCUUGUUGGUGGGGUAAUGGCCUACCAAGGCAUCGAUCCGUAGCUGGCCUGAGAGGACGAUCAGCCACACUGGGACUGAGACACGGCCCAGACUCCUACGGGAGCAG
rnacentral:rRNA from 1 species